CACGUAGGUAAUCUACCUUCGGGUGGGGAAUAACCCAGGGAAACUUGGGCUAACACCGCAUAAUGCAGCGGCACCACAUGGUGACAGUUGUUAAAGCGGGGGAUUUUAGGACCUCGCGCCUGAAGAGGAGCCUGCGGCGGAUUAGCUAGUUGGUGAGGUAACGGCUCACCAAGGUGACGAUCCGUAGCCGGCCUGAGAGGGCGGUCGGCCACACUGACACUGACAUACGGGUCAG
rnacentral:rRNA from 1 species